rnacentral:rRNA from 1 species
GAGUUUGAUCAUGGCUCAGGAUGAACGCUAGCGACAGGCUUAACACAUGCAAGUCGAGGGGCAGCGGGGGUGAUGGCUUGCCAUCACCUGCCGGCGACCGGCGCACGGGUGAGUAACACGUAUGCAACCUGCCCGCCACAGGGGGAUAGGCGGAAGAAAUUCCGUCUAAUACCGCGUGACGCGGCACCGGGGCAUCCCGGUGCCGCCAAAGGGAUUACCGGUGGCGGAUGGGCAUGCGGCGCAUUAGCUAGUCGGCGGGGUAACGGCCCACCGAGGCGACGAUGCGUAGGGGUUCUGAGAGGAAGGUCCCCCACACUGGUACUGAGACACGGACCAGACUCCUACGGGAGGCAGCAGUGAGGAAUAUUGGUCAAUUGGCGCGAGCCUGAACCAGCCAAGUCGCGUGAGGGAUGACGGUCCUACGGAUUGUAAACCUCUUUUGCCGGGGAGCAAGCGUGCGUUCGUGAACGCGCGUCGAGAGUACCCGGAGAAAAAGCAUCGGCUAACUCCGUGCCAGCAGCCGCGGUAAUACGGAGGAUGCGAGCGUUAUCCGGAUUUAUUGGGUUUAAAGGGUGCGUAGGCGGGAUGCCAAGUCAGCGGUAAAAAUGCGGUGCUCAACGCCGUCGAGCCGUUGAAACUGGCGUUCUUGAGUGGGCGAGAAGUAUGCGGAAUGCGUGGUGUAGCGGUGAAAUGCAUAGAUAUCACGCAGAACUCCGAUUGCGAAGGCAGCAUACCGGCGCCCUACUGACGCUGAGGCACGAAAGCGUGGGUAUCGAACAGGAUUAGAUACCCUGGUAGUCCACGCAGUAAACGAUGAAUGCUAACUGUCCGGCUCGAAUGAGCGCUGGGCGGUACAGCGAAAGCGUUAAGCAUUCCACCUGGGGAGUACGCCGGCAACGGUGAAACUCAAAGGAAUUGACGG